rnacentral:rRNA from 1 species
GACGAACGCUGGCGGCGUGCUUAACACAUGCAAGUCGAACGGAAAGGCCCUGCUUUUGUGGGGUGCUCGAGUGGCGAACGGGUGAGUAACACGUGAGUAACCUGCCCUUGACUUUGGGAUAACUUCAGGAAACUGGGGCUAAUACCGGAUAGGAGCUCCUGCUGCAUGGUGGGGGUUGGAAAGUUUCGGCGGUUGGGGAUGGACUCGCGGCUUAUCAGCUUGUUGGUGGGGUAGUGGCUUACCAAGGCUUUGACGGGUAGCCGGCCUGAGAGGGUGACCGGCCACAUUGGGACUGAGAUACGGGCCAGACUGCUACGGGAGGCAGGAGGGGGGAAUAUUGCACAAUGGGCGGAAGCCUGAUGCAGCAACGCCGCGUGCGGGAUGACGGCCUUCGGGUUGUAAACAGCUUUAGCCUGUGACGAAGCGUGAGUGACGGUAAUGGGUAAAGAAGCACCGGCUAACUACGUG